UAUGGCUCAGGAUGAACGCUAGCGGCAGGCCUAAUACAUGCAAGUCGAACGGUAAGAUCCCCUUCGGGGGAUUGAGAGUGGCGGACGGGUGCGUAACGCGUAUGCAACCAGCCCCCCUCACCGGGAUAGCCGGUGGAAACGCCGGAUAAUACCGGAUGCGCCCGCGGGGAGGCAUCUCCCGCGGGCAAGGCGGCGACGCGGAGGGGGACGGGCAUGCGUGCCAUUAGCUGGUUGGCGGGGCGACGGCCCACCAAGGCGACGAUGGCUAGGGGAUCUGAGAGGACGGUCCCCCACACUGGUACUGAGACACGGACCAGACUCCUGCGGGAGGCAGCAGUAAGGGAUAUUGGGCAAUGGGGGGAACCCUGACCCAGCCAAUGCCGCGUGAGGGAAUGAGGCCCUACGGGUCGUGAACCUCUUUUACUCGGGGACAAGGACGGCGUCGCGAACGCCGUUUGAGGGUACCGAGGGAAUAAGCGUCGGCUAACUCCGUGCCAGCCGCCGC
rnacentral:rRNA from 1 species